rnacentral:rRNA from 1 species
GACGAACGCUGGCGGCGUGCUUAACACAUGCAAGUCGAACGAUGAAGAAAAGAAUCGAAGCUUCGGCAGAAAUUCAUUUCGGAUUAGUGGCAGACGGGUGAGUAACGCGUGAGCAACCUACCUCUUACAAAGGGAUAGCCUCGGGAAACCGGGAUUAAUACCAUAUAACAUUGUGACGAAGCAUUUCGAUGCAAUCAAAGCUACGGCGGUAAGAGAUGGGCUCGCGUCCCAUUAACCGGAUGGUGAGGUAACGGCUCACCAUAGUGACGAUGGGUAACCGGCCUGAGAGGGUGAACGGUCACACUGGAACUGAGCCACGGUCCAGACUCCUACGGGAGGCAGCAGUGGGGAAUAUUGCACAAUGGAGGGAACUCUGAUGCAGCGACGCCGCGUGAGUGAUGAAGGAAUUCGUUUCGUAAAACUCUGUUCUAUGGGAAGAAAAGGACUGUACCAUAGGAGAAAGCUCCGGCUAAAUACGUG